rnacentral:tRNA from 1 species
UGGGGAAUAGUCUAGUGGUAGGACAGUGGACUCUGGAUCCAUGAGGGAAGGUUCGAAUCCUUCUUCCCCAGCCA